GGGUAGGGGAGCGUUCUGUAAGCCUGCGAAGGUGUGCUGUGAGGCAUGCUGGAGGUAUCAGAAGUGCGAAUGCUGACAUAAGUAACGAUAAAGCGGGUGAAAAGCCCGCUCGCCGGAAGACCAAGGGUUCCUGUCCAACGUUAAUCGGGGCAGGGUGAGUCGACCCCUAAGGCGAGGCCGAAAGGCGUAGUCGAUGGGAAACAGGUUAAUAUUCCUGUACUUGGUGUUACUGCGAAGGGGGGACGGAGAAGGCUAUGUCGGCCGGGCGACGGUUGUCCCGGUUUAAGCGUGUAGGCUGACUUUCCAGGCAAAUCCGGAAGGUUAAGGCUGAGGCGUGAUGACGAGGCACCACGGUGCUGAAGUGACAAAUGCCCUGCUUCCAGGAAAAGCCUCUAAGCAUCAGGUAACAUCAAAUCGUACCCCAAACCGACACAGGUGGUCAGGUAGAGAAUACCAAGGCGCUUGAGAGAACUCGGGUGAAGGAACUAGGCAAAAUGGUGCCGUAACUUCGGGAGAAGGCACGCUGACAUGUAGGUGAAGCCCCUGCGGGUGGAGCUGAAGUCAGUCGAAGAUACCAGCUGGCUGCAACUGUUUAUUAAAAACACAGCACUGUGCAAACACGAAAGUGGACGUAUACGGUGUGACGCCUGCCCGGUGCCGGAAGGUUAAUUGAUGGGGUUAUCGCAAGAGAAGCUCCUGAUCGAAGCCCCGGUAAACGGCGGCCGUAACUAUAACGGUCCUAAGGUAGCGAAAUUCCUUGUCGGGUAAGUUCCGACCUGCACGAAUGGCGUAAUGAUGGCCAGGCUGUCUCCACCCGAGACUCAGUGAAAUUGAACUCGCUGUGAAGAUGCAGUGUACCCGCGGCAAGACGGAAAGACCCCGUGAACCUUUACUACAGCUUGACACUGAACAUUGAGCCUUGAUGUGUAGGAUAGGUGGGAGGCUUUGAAGCGUGGACGCCAGUCUGCGUGGAGCCGACCUUGAAAUACCACCCUUUAAUGUUUGAUGUUCUAACCUGGCGCCGUGAUCCGGCGUGGGGACAGUGUCUGGUGGGUAGUUUGACUGGGGCGGUCUCCUCCCAAAGUGUAACGGAGGAGCACGAAGGUCAGCUAAUCCUGGUCGGACAUCAGGAGGUUAGUGCAAUGGCAUAAGCUGGCUUGACUGCGAGAGUGACGGCUCGAGCAGGUGCGAAAGCAGGUCAUAGUGAUCCGGUGGUUCUGUAUGGAAGGGCCAUCGCUCAACGGAUAAAAGGUACUCCGGGGAUAACAGGCUGAUACCGCCCAAGAGUUCAUAUCGACGGCGGUGUUUGGCACCUCGAUGUCGGCUCAUCACAUCCUGGGGCUGAAGUAGGUCCCAAGGGUAUGGCUGUUCGCCAUUUAAAGUGGUACGCGAGCUGGGUUUAGAACGUCGUGAGACAGUUCGGUCCCUAUCUGCCGUGGGCGCUGGAGAAUUGAGGGGGGCUGCUCCCAGUACGAGAGGACCGGAGUGGACGCAUCACUGGUGUUCGGGUUGUCAUGCCAAUGGCACUGCCCGGUAGCUAAAUGCGGAAGAGAUAAGUGCUGAAAGCAUCUAAGCACGAAACUUGCCCCGAGAUGAGUUCUCCCUGACUCCUUGA
rnacentral:rRNA from 1 species